UGGGGAAUAUUGGACAAUGGGCGAAAGCCUGAUCCAGCCAUGCCGCGUGAGUGACGAAGGCCUUAGGGUUGUAAAGCUCUUUUGGCGGGGAAGAUAAUGACGGUACCCGCAGAAUAAGCUCCGGCUAACUUCGUGCCAGCAGCCGCGGUAAUACGAAGGGAGCUAGCGUUGUUCGGAAUCACUGGGCGUAAAGCGCACGUAGGCGGAUUUGUCAGUCAGGGGUGAAAUCCCGGGGCUCAACCUCGGAACUGCCCUUGAUACAGCAAGUCUUGAGUUCGAGAGAGGUGGGUGGAAUUCCUAGUGUAGAGGUGAAAUUCGUAGAUAUUAGGAAGAACACCGGUGGCGAAGGCGGCCCACUGGCUCGAUACUGACGCUGCGGUGCGAAAGCGUGGGAGCAAACAGGAUUAGAUACCCAUGUAGUCCCUGAGCGGGCUGGCAAGGCGCAU
rnacentral:rRNA from 1 species